rnacentral:rRNA from 1 species
AUUCCAGCUCCAAUAGCGUAUAUUAAAGUUGUUGCAGUUAAAAAGCUCGUAGUUGAAUUUCGGGAUUGGCGUGUCGGUCGUGCCUUAAGGGGUAUGAACUGGCGUCGUCGAUUUCUCACCUUCUGGAGAAACGCGAUGCCCUUAAUUGGGUGUCGUGCGGAACCAGGACCUUUACCUUGGAAAAAUUAGAGUGUUUAAAGCAGGCAUUCGUGCUCGAA